UCCGGGUGUCGGAGGAGAGAGGAGCUUGUUCAGCCCAGUCUGGAGUGGCAUGCUCUUCUUGGUUCAGCCCAAAGACACAGGCUUCUAAAGUAGGAGCCGUCCCGUGUCAUUAUCACAGGGAGAAGAGGGCACCUAUCAGAACCAGGGGUCUGGGAAGCGAGGACAGAGGUUAACAGGAAGGCAGCCUUUCUCCAGGCUCGUGGAUCUUGUUGAGACAGGGUCUGAUGGAAGGAGCAAAGGCCAUGUUCUCUCCGCAGUCAUUUUCUCUGCCUGCACCUUCCCUGCAGAAUGUUUGGUGAACAGGUAUCACAGCUAUGAGAAAGCUUGUACUCCACGAUUCAGACUGCUGCUUGAUAACGCCCUAGUGGUCCCCGAGCUUGGUACCCCCAGGGACACAUGUGGAUAUUCAUUAUGAAUUUAACCAGCAGUUUCCAUUUUUAAUAGUGUUACUUUCAUUUCUAUAGUUAAAACAAAGCAUAAGAAGGGAG
rnacentral:lncRNA from 1 species